AAAGAGAGAAAUUGAAACGAUAUAGAGAAGGUUAGCAUGCCCUGCGCAAGCAUGACACACAAAAUCAUGAAGCGUUCCAUUAAAAA
rfam:Mesocricetus auratus contig174084, whole genome shotgun sequence.